UACGGGGGGGGGCAAGCGUUGUUCGGAAUUACUGGGCGUAAAGGGCUCGUAGGUGGCCAACUAAGUCAGACGUGAAAUCCCUCAGCUUAACUGGGGAACUGCGUCUGAUACUGGAUGGCUUGAGUUUGGGAGAGGGAUGCGGAAUUCCAGGUGUAGCGGUGAAAUGCGUAGAUAUCUGGAGGAACACCGGUGGCGAAGGCGGCAUCCUGGACCAAUACUGACACUGAGGAGCGAAAGCCAGGGGAGCGAACAGG
rnacentral:rRNA from 1 species